CAUAAUUAUGUCUGCGAUAUUUCACUUACAUGGUGCGUCUAUACUGUCAAAUACGUGUGCAAAAUCUGCCUAAACUACAGAUAUGUGGUUGAAUUUUAUUACAAAAAUACUUCACUUUCAAAGGGUAAAGAAAACGAACAGUGAUCAAUCUCAUGACUCCCGUAAAGAAUACAAAAUAUAGAGUUGGACAAACAUGGACCCCUGGACAUACCGGUGGUGGGAUUAGGUGCCUCCAUUGUAGGAGGAGUAUGUAGCCCUUAUCGUCCGAGGUUAUAUACCCGCCGUGAGCCCUUUAUCUUGAUCUGGUCAUCAGAGUAAUCCGUAGUCAAAUUCAGUGUGUAACGAAGGGCUUACUAAUGUUAUCUGGUGGCGCCCAAUUUUUGUUGGAGGAAGAGAGAACCCAGAUACAAUGUAACUUGGAAGAGACCACCGACCUUCCGAAAGUAAACUGGGAAACUUUCUCACUUACCGGCGCGAGCGGGAUCUUUUCCUUCAAUAUAAUAUUCACAUUAGGAGUGGGUGAAAAUGUGAGGAGUUCAAAACAGCUGCAAAUGAUGAUUAGAAAAAGAAAAAACUUGGCAAAGAUUUGUAUUGGACGAUUUGUACAAACUUUAAAUAUUUCUUUUGAAUUACAUACUAUAUAAACAUGAAAUACAAAUGAAAAAGAGUAUCAAUAUCAGCGAGUACAUACUUUAUUUUCCAAAGAUUGUAUGUUUAUUUACAAUAAAAUGUAUAUAUUUC